AUCCUGGGGCUGAAGUAGGUCCCAAGGGUAUGGCUGUUCGCCAUUUAAAGUGGUACGCGAGCUGGGUUUAGAACGUCGUGAGACAGUUCGGUCCCUAUCUGCCGUGGGCGCUGGAGAACUGAGGGGGGCUGCUCCUAGUACGAGAGGACCGGAGUGGACGCAUCACUGGUGUUCGGGUUGUCAUGCCAAUGGCACUGCCCGGUAGCUAAAUGCGGAAGAGAUAAGUGCUGAAAGCAUCUAAGCACGAAACUUGCCCCGAGAUGAGUUCUCCCUGACCCUUUAAGGGUCCUGAAGGAACGUUGAAGACGACGACGUUGAUAGGCCGGGUGUGUAAGCGCAGCGAUGCGUUGAGCUAACCGGUACUAAUGAACCGUGAGGCUUAACCUUACAACGCCGAAGCUGUU
rnacentral:rRNA from 1 species